GCCCAGGGAGCUACGGCGGUUCGCUGCGCCCGCUAGCACUCUUCUCCAUGAACUAGACAACUCACGCUUGAUAUCCCGGGAAAAUUAAGCGAAUUGGCACGUGGAGAAAGGGUUUAGUCUUUCGGUGGUACGAAAUCAAAUUGCGUUGGCUGGUGACUCCUGCUGAGACCAUGUCAACCUCUCAGCUGACAUCUUGUGACACAUUCGUGGCACUGCCACCAGCAACCAAACGAGGCUUUGUGGUGUUUGGGAAGAACUCUGACCGACCUCAGGGUGAAGUUCAAGAAGUUGUUCACUUCCCUGCUGCCUCCCAUGAGCCAGGCAGCAAAGUUCAAUGCACGUACAUCUCGGUGGAUCAGGCGGAGAGCACACACGCGGUAAUCCUGAGCCGGCCCGCUUGGAUGUGGGGUGCAGAGAUGGGGGCCAACGAGCACGGCCUGUGCGCCGGCAACGAGGCCGUCUGGACCCGGCUCGAGUCCGACGACGACCGCACGGAGCGGCUGCUUGGUAUGGACCUGGUCAGGCUGGCGCUGGAGCGGGCGGCGACGGCGCGGGAGGCGGUCGACGUCAUCACCGGCCUGCUAGCCUCGCAUGGCCAAGGCGGCCCGUGCUCGGACACGGACGCCUCCCUGCUCUACCACAACUCGUUCCUGCUGGCCGACCGUGCCGAGGCCUGGGUGCUGGAGACCGCAGGUCACCUGUGGGCCGCCAAAAGAAUCACAUGUGGCGUGGCUAACAUCAGCAACUGCCUGACGAUCGGGGUGGAGAUGGACCUGCAGCACCCGGAGCUGCACUCGGAGGCCAUCUCGCGCGGUCUCUGGGACGGCAGCGGCCAGCUCAACUUCAAACAGGUGUUUGGUCGUGACGGUGACGCGGACGGCUGCUCCCGGCUCACCGAGGGCCGCAAGCUCAUGGAGCGGUACGCCGCAGCAGGCGAGUUUGACGUGGAGAACAUGCUGGCGGUGCUGCGUGACGCGCCGUCUGGCAUCUGCCGCGCCUACGAUGAUCCGUUCCACACGGCCGCCAGCCAGGUGUCGGUGCUGCCGCCGAUGGCCUCAGCCCGGCCCGCCUGCCACUGGUUCACGGGCACGCCGGACCCGCAGCGCUCCGUCUUCAAGCCAUUCGUGUUCGUGCCGGGCGCGCGCAUCUCGCCGCACAUCCAGAGUCCGGCAAUCGAGGACGACCCGGCUAAGGCCCAGCCGCGGUUCCAGCGGCCGGUGGAGCGCGCCCACCGCCUGUACCGUCUGCACGGCGAGGCGCUACGCACGCGGCCCGAGCGGCACGAGCAGGUGCGCGGCCUGGAGCAGCGCUGCGUGCCUGAGCUGGACCGCUUCCUGGAGCAGUUCACGGCCGAGCAGGCCGGCGAGCUGCAGGAGCUCUUCAAGGACUGCGUCGAGAGCGAGCUGCAGUUCUACAAGUAGAGCCGGCGCGGCUGGGCGCGGCGACCGCGGGACGGGGAGGGGCGGGACGGAGGCGGAGAUGGAGACGGAAGAUCACCAGGAGCACGCGCACAGGCACGGACUUUAUGGAAAAUGACGUACUUUUGGAACUGUUGCGCCAAGGAUCUCUCGCUGGACCUCCAUCUGUCCCGUAAGUGGUGCUGUCUAAAUUUUGUGUACAUCCCGAUACAGUUCCAGCAUGCAAUUUUCCGGGUACAUAUUCGGAACUGUACGAGGAACCCUGCUA
rnacentral:misc_RNA from 1 species